rnacentral:tRNA from 1 species
AGUAAAGUGCCUGAAUAAAGGAUAAUUUUGAUAGAAUUAAUUAUGUGGCCCCCACCUUUACUU